UGCAGUCGAACGAGAACCUUUUUGUAGGUAACUACGGAGAGAUUUCUAGUGGCGAACGGGUGAGUAACACGUGAGUAACCUGCCCCAAAGACCGGGAUAGCCCAUGGAAACGUGGAUUAAUACCGGAUACCCUCACGGAAUCGCAUGGUUCUGUGAGGAAAUGCUCCGGCGCUUUGGGAUGGACUCGCGGCCUAUCAGCUAGUUGGUGAGGUAACGGCUCACCAAGGCACUGACGGGUAGCUGGUCUGAGAGGACGAACAGCCACACUGGGACUGAGACACGGCCCAGACUCCUACGGGAGGCAGCAGCAGGGAAUAUUGCACAAUGGGCGCAAGCCUGAUGCAGCGACGCCGCGUGAGGGAUGAAGGCUUUCGGGUCGUAAACCUCUUUCAGUGGGGAAGAAGCGCAAGUGACGGUACCCACACAAGAAGGCCCGGCCAACUACGUGCCAGCAGCCGCGGUAAUACGUAGGGGCCAAGCGUUAUCCGGAUUUAUUGGGCGUAAAGAGCUCGUAGGCGGUUUGGUAAGUCGGUCGUGAAAGUCCGAGGCUCAACCUCGGAAUGCCGGUCGAUACUGCCAUGACUAGGGUUCGGUAGAGGAGAGUGGAAUUCUCGGUGUAGCGGUGAAAUGCGCAGAUAUCGAGAGGAACCCAGUAGCGAGGCGGCUCUCUGGGCGAUACGACGCUGAGGAGCGAAGCGUGGGAGCAACAGGAUAGAUACCUGGUAGUCACGCGUAACGU
rnacentral:rRNA from 1 species